rnacentral:rRNA from 1 species
UACGGGGGGGGCAAGCGUUGUUCGGAAUUACUGGGCGUAAAGGGCGCGUAGGCGGUUCGCUAAGUUGAAUGUGAAAACUCUGGGCUUAACCCAGAGCCUGCAUUCAAUACUGGCGGGCUAGAGUUCUGGAGGGGAUAGCGGAAUUCCUGGUGUAGCGGUGAAAUGCGUAGAUAUCAGGAGGAACACCGGUGGCGAAGGCGGCUUUCUGGACAGUAACUGACGCUGAGGCGCGAAAGCUAGGGGAGCAAACAGG